rnacentral:rRNA from 1 species
GACGAACGCUGGCGGCGUGCUUAACACAUGCAAGUCGAACGGAAAGGCCCUGCUUGCAGGGUACUCGAGUGGCGAACGGGUGAGUAACACGUGGGUGAUCUGCCCUGCACUUCGGGAUAAGCCUGGGAAACUGGGUCUAAUACCGGAUAGGAGCCAUUUUUAGUGUGAUGGUUGGAAAGUUUUUUCGGUGUAGGAUGAGCUCGCGGCCUAUCAGCUUGUUGGUGGGGUAAUGGCCUACCAAGGCGGCGACGGGUAGCCGGCCUGAGAGGGUGGACGGCCACAUUGGGACUGAGAGGCGGCCCAGACUCCUACGGGAGGCAGCAGGGGGGAAUAUUGCACAAGGGGCGCAAGCCUGAUGCAGCGAGGCCGCGUGGGGGAUGACGGCCUUCGGGUUGUAAACUCCUUUCGCUAGGGACGAAGCUUUUUGUGACGGUACCUAGAUAAGAAGCACCGGCUAACUACGUG